AGCAGGGUAGCAUAGUGGAAGCGUGCUGGGCCCAUAACCCAGAGGUCCGUGGAACGAAACCACCCUCUGCUA
rnacentral:tRNA from 1 species